rnacentral:rRNA from 1 species
UACAGAGGGGGCAAGCGUUGUUCGGAAUUACUGGGCGUAAAGGGCUCGCAGGCGGCCAACUAAGUCAGACGUGAAAUCCCUCGGCUUAACCGGGGAACUGCGUCUGAUACUGGAUGGCUUGAGUUUGGGAGAGGGAUGCGGAAUUCCAGGUGUAGCGGUGAAAUGCGUAGAUAUCUGGAGGAACACCGGUGGCGAAGGCGGCAUCCUGGACCAACACUGACGCUGAGUGAGCGAAAGCCAGGGGAGCAAACGGG